GGGGACGACCGGUUUUGACGGCGUGAGUGGUUGCGAGUAUAAGCAUGUCGGGAGUUGGUAGAACCUCCUGUUAAAAAUUCUUCCAAACAACAACUGGCAAUACUUCGUAUGCCAUGGCUGCUUAAUUCCGGAGUGAAUUAAACAUUAGCCACAUCCCGCCUUGGCUAACCUUUGCUGCUGGGGAGUUCGGGGUGUCGCCCCGCAAAGGCGAUUAUGAGUGGGGAACUUAUUCAUAAUUAGUAUAUAGGUUUCUAAGGUGAUAUUAAGGUCUGAUGCUAACCUACUAUUGCUCGAAAAUAAAUAGCAGCUAAGCAUGUAGAAGGUUCGACAAUUGCCAAGUUCGGACCAGGGUUCGAGUCCCUGCGUCUCCAC
rnacentral:tmRNA from 1 species